rnacentral:rRNA from 1 species
UUCGGGGACAUUGGUGACAGGUGGUGCAUGGUUGUCGUCAGCUCGUGUCGUGAGAUGUUGGGUUAAGUCCCGCAACGAGCGCAACCCUUGUCUUUAGUUGCCAUCAUUAAGUUGGGCACUCUAGAGAGACUGCCAGGGAUAACCUGGAGGAAGGUGGGGAUGACGUCAAAUCAUCAUGCCCCUUAUGCUUAGGGCUACACACGUGCUACAAUGGGUAGUACAGAGGGUUGCCAAGCCGUAAGGUGGAGCUAAUCCCUUAAAGCUACUCUCAGUUCGGAUUGUAGGCUGAAACUCGCCUACAUGAAGCUGGAGUUACUAGUAAUCGCAGAUCAGAAUGCUGCGGUGAAUGCGUUCCCGGGUCUUGUACACACCGCCCGUCACACCACGGGAGUUGGAGACGCCCGAAGCCGA